rnacentral:rRNA from 1 species
GACGAACGCUGGCGGCGUGCUUAACACAUGCAAGUCGAACGGAAAGGCCCUGCUUUUGUGGGGUGCUCGAGUGGCGAACGGGUGAGUAACACGUGAGUAACCUGCCCUUGACUUUGGGAUAACUUCAGGAAACUGGGGCUAAUACCGGAUAGGAGCUCCUGCUGCAUGGUGGGGGUUGGAAAGUUUCGGCGGUUGGGGAUGGACUCGCGGCUUAUCAGCUUGUUGGUGGGGUAGUGGCUUACCAAGGCUUUGACGGGUAGCCGGCCUGAGAGGGUGACCGGCCACAUUGGGACUGAGAUACGGCCCUGACUCCUACGGGAGGCAGCAGUGGGGAAUAUUGCACAAUGGGCGGAAGCCUGAUGCAGCAACGCCGCGUGCGGGAUGACGGCCUUCGGGUUGUAAACCGCUUUCGCCUGUGACGAAGCGUGAGUGACGGUAAUGGGAAAAGAAGCACCGGCUAACUACGUG